rnacentral:rRNA from 1 species
UACGUAGGGGGCAAGCGUUGUCCGGAAUUAUUGGGCGUAAAGAGCGUGUAGGCGGUCCGGUAAGUCGGCUGUGAAAGUCCAGGGCUCAACCCUGGGAUGCCGGUCGAUACUGCCGGACUAGAGUUCGGAAGAGGCGAGUGGAAUUCCCGGUGUAGCGGUGAAAUGCGCAGAUAUCGUAAGGAAGACCAGUGGCGAAGGCGAGUCUCUGGACAGCAACUGACGCUGAGGCACGAAGGCCAGGGGAGCAAACGGG